rnacentral:rRNA from 1 species
CCUACGGGAGGCAGCAGUGAGGAAUAUUGGUCAAUGGGCGCGAGUCUGAACCAGCCAAGUCGCGUGAGGGAAGACGGUUCUAUGGAUUGUAAACCUCUUUUGUCGGGGAGCAAACGCCGCUACGCGUGGCUUUCCGAGAGUACCCUACGAAAAAGCAUCGGCUAACUCCGUGCCAGCAGCCGCGGUAAUACGGAGGAUGCGAGCGUUAUCCGGAUUUAUUGGGUUUAAAGGGUGCGUAGGCGGACGGUCAAGUUAGCGGUAAAAUCGAAAGGCUCAACGUCGUCGUGCCGUUGAAACUGGUUGUCUUGAGUGAGUGAGAGGUAUGCGGAAUGCGUGGUGUAGCGGUGAAAUGCAUAGAGAUCACGCAGAACACCGAUUGCGAAGGCAGCAUACCGGCGCUCAACUGACGCUCAUGCACGAAAGCGUGGGUAGCGAACAGGAUUAGAUACCCCAGUAGUC